rnacentral:rRNA from 1 species
GCAGUAGCCGCGGUAAUACGUAGGUGGCAAGCGCUGUCCGGAUUUACUGGGCGUAAAGCGCGCGCAGGCGGAUGGUUAAGUAGGAAGUGAAAGGUUGGAGCUCAACUCCAACAUUGCUCCCUAUACUGGCCGUCUUGAGUCCCGGAGAGGAAAGCGGAACGACACGUGGAGCGGUGAAAUGCGUUGAUAUGUGUCGGAACACCAAUGGCGAAGGCAGCUUUCUGGACGGGUACUGACGCUCAGGCGCGAAAGCCGAGGUAGCGAACAGGAUUAGAUACCCGUGUAGUCCCUGUCUCUUAUAC